rnacentral:misc_RNA from 1 species
UUAACUAUUAGAUAGUACUCAGACGACACUAAUAUUCAGAGUUUGGGCUUCCUUCGGCAGGCACGAUCUAGCCAGAGCCAGUGCCCGGGGGCGGCCUGCCAAAGCAACAAAGAUAUAAUAUACAAGGGUGGGCGUUUCUACCCGUGAGGGCAGAGAACACUGUAAUGAUCCUUCCGCAGGUUCACCUACGGAAA